UUCCAUAUAGUGUAGUGGUUUAGCAUACCAGAUUUUCAUCUACUGAUAAAUCUCUGGCGACCCGGGUUCGAACCCCGGUAUGGAAG